GAUGAACGCUGGCGGCGUGCCUAAUACAUGCAAGUCGAGCGAACAGAUGAGGAGCUUGCUCCUCUGACGUUAGCGGCGGACGGGUGAGUAACACGUGGAUAACCUACCUAUAAGACUGGGAUAACUUCGGGAAACCGGAGCUAAUACCGGAUAAUAUAUUGAACCGCAUGGUUCAAUAGUGAAAGACGGUUUUGCUGUCACUUAUAGAGGGAUCCGCGCUGCAUUAGCUAGUUGGUGAGGUAACGGCUUACCAAGGCAACGAUGCGUAGCCGACAUGAGAGGGAGGACGGCGACACUGGGAGUGGGACACGGGGCAAACUCGUGCGGGAGGCAGCAGUGGGGAAUAUUGCAAAAUGGGCGAAAGAAUGAGGGAGUGACGCCGCGUGAGCGAAGCAGUAUUUCGGUAUGAAAAGCUCUAUCAGCAGGGAAGAUAAUGACGGUACCUGACGAAGAAGCACCGGCUAAAUACGUG
rnacentral:rRNA from 1 species